AUGUGUGUAAAUGUAUUGAUAUGCACACAUUGUAUUAUGGACUCAUAACCUCAGCCAAAGAUCAGUUUUUUCAGGUUUAGGCAGAGUGCAUUCAGUUUUACCCAAAGGACAUUCAGUUUGCCAGUUGUAUCAUAAAAAACGUUAGAAUACUAGUAUGUGGUCAAAAAUAUGACAAAAAUGUCAUAGUAUAUUAUGUCGUCCAAAAAGUGACAAAAAUGUCAUACUGUAGUAUGUGGUCAAAAAUAUGACAAAAAUGUCAUAGUAUAGUAUGUUGUCAAAAAAGUGAUGAAAAUGUCAUAGUAUAGUACGUGGUCAAAAAAGUGACAAAAAUGUCAUACUAUAAUAUGUCAUCCAAAAAGUGAUGAAAAUGUCAUAGUAUAGUAUGUCGUCAAAAAUAUGACAAAAAUGUUAUAGUAUAGUAUGUCGUCCAAAAAGUGAUGAAAAUGUCAUAGUAUAGUAUGUGGUCAAAAAAGUGACAAAAAUGUCAUAGUAUAGUAUGUGGUCAAAAAUAUGACAAAAAUGUCAUACUGUAAUAUGUGGUCAAAAAUAUGACAAAAAUGUCAUAGUAUAGUAUGUGGUCAAAAAUAUGACAAAAAUGUCAUAGUAUAGUAUGUGGUCAAAAAAGUGAUGAAAAUGUCAUAGUAUAGUAUGUGGUCAAAAAUAUGACAAAAAUGUCAUAGUAUAGUAUGUGGUCAAAAAUAUGACAAAAUGUCAUAGUAUAGUAUGUGGUCAAAAAUAUGACAAAAAUGUCAUAGUAUAGUAUGUGGUCAAAAAAGUGAUGAAAAUGUCAUAGUAUAGUAUGUGGUCCAAAAAAUGAUGAAAAUGUCAUAGUAUAGUAUGUGGUCAAAAAUAUGACGAAAAAUGUCAUAGUAUAGUAUGUGGUCAAAAAUAUGACAAAAAUGUCAUAGUAUAGUAUGUGGUCAAAAAAGUGAUGAAAAUGUCAUAGUAUAGUAUGUGGUCAAAAAUAUGACAAAAAUGUCAUAGUAUAGUAUGUGGUCAAAAAAGUGAUGAAAAUGUCAUAGUAUAGUAUGUGGUCAAAAAAGUGAUGAAAAUGUCAUAGUAUAGUAUCUCAGACCAACGCUGCUAAAAAAACAUAGCAUAAUAUGUCUUAAACAAUGUUAUAGAGUCCUUGGCUGUAAUGAAUUUUCCUUUCCUCCUCCUCUGUGUUUUUGUU